rnacentral:rRNA from 1 species
UACGGAGGGUGCAAGCGUUAAUCGGAAUUACUGGGCGUAAAGCGUGCGCAGGCGGUUUGUUAAGUCCGCUGUGAAAUCCCCGAGCUCAACUUGGGAAUUGCAGUGGAUACUGGCAGGCUGGAGUACGGUAGAGGAAGGUGGAAUUCCCGGUGUAGCAGUGAAAUGCGUAGAGAUCGGGAGGAACACCAGUGGCGAAGGCGGCCUUCUGGACCAAUACUGACGCUCAUGCACGAAAGCGUGGGGAGCAAACAGG